rnacentral:rRNA from 1 species
GACGAACGCUGGCGGCGUGCUUAACACAUGCAAGUCGAACGGUAAGGCCCUUCGGGGUACACGAGUGGCGAACGGGUGAGUAACACGUGGGUGAUCUGCCCUGCACUUCGGGAUAAGCCUGGGAAACUGGGUCUAAUACCGGAUAGGACUCCUGGCUUGAUGGUUGGGGGUGGAAAGCUUUUGCGGUGUGGGAUGGGCCCGCGGCCUAUCAGCUUUUUGGUGGGGUAAUGGCCUACCAAGGCGACGACGGGUAGCCGGCCUGAGAGGGUGACCGGUCACACUGGGACUGAGAUACGGCCCAGACUCCUACGGGAGGCAGCAGUGGGGAAUAUUGCACAAUGGGCGCAAGCCUGAUGCAGCGACGCCGCGUGAGGGAUGACGGCCUUCGGGUUGUAAACCUCUUUCAGCUAUGACGAAGCGCAAGUGACGGUAGUAGCAGAAGAAGGACCGGCCAACUACGUGCCAGCCGCCGCGGUAAAAC